rnacentral:lncRNA from 1 species
AGAAAGCUGUCAAGACCAUCCAGACCUGAAAAUACCUGAUAGGGGGAUGGGAAACAAAAACAUGACUUCUCACAGUAGAUCCUUAAUUGGUGAUCGAAAAUUGGUUUAAAAGUGUCCUAACUAAUCUUUUUUGAAGGGAAAGUCAGAAAUACAUUCAAACUCACAGUGUGUACCUCUGAGAGACAGUGGCUCAUUCAAGUAUCACUUAUCCAUUUGGGUCUUCAUUCAUUCACUCAUUCCCCAAAUCCUAACUGAGUACGUACUAUAAAACAGACACUUGCCAGGUAUUGGGGGAUGGAGGGUCUGAGUAGGGGUAAAGAUUAAUUAGGUAAUAAAAUCCAGAUUUCUUUUAAAAACAAUCAGAAAAUCUCACAAGGCUGGACCCACAUUCUCACACAAUAAUGAUUGCUGGCGCUGAGUCACUGGGGACCUACUAGGUGAAGCAGGAAUCCCUGAGUGCCUACAGCUCCCAUCCCCAAAGCUACAUCAUUACAGCAUUCCUUCAUGUUACCUACCUGUCAUUACCUAUGGACGUCUGAAUUCAUGAAUCUGAGCUCACGAAUUCUCAUUGAGAGAACCUUUCCAAUGAAAUACCCAUCGGAUGCCCUUUGCUGAGAGCCCGGAGUAGAACCAGUGCUAAAUUUCUAAGAGAGAGACAAAUACCUAAAUAACUCUAUUGCAAAAUAAAAGGUAUUAUCAGAAAGGGAAGGAUGAAAUGCUUUGAACAUUUAGGGGACAGGGAAAUUGUUUCUGGAGACUGGUACACAUCAGAAAUGGCUUCCUGGCAGAUGUAGCACCGAAUCUGGGACUUGAAUGAUUACAUUUUUUCCAUCAAUUCAACAAAUAUUUGCUAGAAGCCAGCUAGCCAGAAUGCUUUAUAGAAGAUGCACUCAGAAUUGGCUAGUUAUGAGGGAGCUGUUUGUCAACUGCUAAUUUUCUGUGGUUUGCUCUUCUUCCCUUUCCUUUUACAUUCACAAAUUGGGAAAGUUAAACUUGUAGAUCACUUUGGGGAUUGUCAAAGGGUGGCUUCUGGUAGAUACUGGUUUCUCCAAGCCAGGCAAACCUGCAUUCACUCAGCAUAUAUUUUCAAGUCUGGACUAUGUACCGUCCACUAUGACAGGAGUCAGAAAUACAGUGAUGAGUGCUGGCCCUGUCCCAUGUAAUUUACAGCCUUUUUGGAGAGAGAGGCAGUUUCAGUGACCUCACAAAUACAUGCAGGAGUGUAACUGUGAUGAGUACUGCAAAGGGAAGAGGGCCCUUGUUGCUAAAGGACUUAUAAGAGGAGUUGGCCAUGUCAGAAGGAUCAGGGAAGGCCUUACUGAGGCAUGAGGCUUCCUGGUGUGAAUAGCAGUUAACAGGUGGAGGGAGACCAGGUUCCAGGUGGAGGAAAUAACAUGUGUGUGGGCUCCUUUCCAGAAGAGCUGGAGAGAAGAGAGAUGAAAGGAAGGUGAUGCAGGAUGAAGCUGGAGGAGUAAGAAGGGGUUUGAUGAUAUAGCAGGCCCAGUCAAAGAAUCUUGUCUUUAUCCUAAGAGUCAAGAGAAGUUGCUGAGAAUUUUUAAGCAGGAAAGGGUGAUGAUCAUAUUUAUAUUUUGGAAAGAUCCUCCAACCUGCUCUCUGUGUUAAAACAGUUGAGUUCAUAUAUCUUCUGGCUGCAAUAAUGGGAAUGAACACAAGGCAGGACAGAGUACAUGGGGGGAGGCCGGUUAGCAAGCUAGUGUUGAGUUCAGAAGGAAGAUGAUGUUCUUUUGACUAGGAUGCUGGUGAUGGAGGGCAAUGAAAAAAUCUGAGAGAUAAAUAGGAGCUAAAUCAACAAUAUAAUGGGCUGAACAUGGAGGAGAAAAAAAGAAAAGAGUCAAACAUAUCUUCUAGGUUCCUCUCUGCCAUGCAUAAUUGGAUGGAUGGAAUACCAUUCACUAAAAUGAAUCACCACUUGGCUUUGUUCUAAGACUGCUGUGUACAGUUGUGUGAGUUGUGUACUACACCAGGGCAUCUGGCUAAUUAACAAAGGCAGAAGCUGAAAGUCAGCCCAUUCUCUGCUUGCCAAGACACAUAUCCCCAUGUAGGGUCAUGUCUACCCAGGUGGGAGGGGCAGCUUCUUAUAAUUUGCAAAAAAUAGCUAUCCAUUUGGCUAGAUAAAAAGUUAUACCUUUUAACCAGCAUUGCAGGCAUCCAAGAAGGCCCACAUAGGGUACUACGAGUGGGAGGGAGCACUAAAGGUGGUAAAGCCAGGGCCAGGAUACCUGGAUGGUAGAGACAAGGGCUGAAGAAGGUGAUGAGAAAAUGAGAGAGUGCAAAAAAUAUCAAGCUCAGUUUAUUUAUCCUGCAGUGGCUAUCUCUGGCAUUUCCUGGACUCCUGACCCACAGGGAGGGAUCCUGCCUGUGGCUCACCCUUCCUGUUAUUUUAAUUCUUUUGUUGGAUGCCUUUAAUGAAUGUAGACAUGGACACUCAUACAUCAGAGAGCAGAAGUACUUUAAGAACCAUCUAGCCCUACUCUUUCAUUACACGGAUGAGAACGCUGAGGUCCAGGGAAAUGGAAAGCUUUGCUCUGUCUCCUGCUGGGACAAGAUCCUUAAUCGCCUGAUUCCUCACAUCAUGCUGAUCUUUCCUCUAACAAGAAAUUGACUGAGCUUUCACAGACAACGAGGCAACACCUGAAAGAGCAAAGAUACCAAGUCAGAUUCAUCUGAGUUUGGAUCUCUGCUUGCCAUUCUUUGUUGUGUGAUUUUUGACAAGUUACUUAAUCUCUCCAAGCUUCACUUUCCCCACCUGUAAAAUGAAGAUUAAAAACACCUUGAAGGUGGGCUGUGAGGAUUAACGUAAAGCCUUUGGGAUAGGGUCUGAUAUUCACGAGCCACCAUCUAGACCACAUUCUCUACUUAUGUUGACUUCUCCAGCCCCUGUCUCUUCCCUACCCUUUCUCUAUUCUCAAAGGGUUUGCAGGGAUUCUGCAGAAAAUUUAUUCUUUGGAAAUUCUUUGUGGAACUCAACACAAAUUCAGCAUAUCAAAUAAACGAAAUAUUAAGAAAUGACUCUACCUUUUCCCCUAACCUUUCACUUAGGGUUCUGAUCCCUAAGAUGCAAAUGGCAAUUAACCCUGCACCCCACACUAGCCCUCUACCUCUCCCUAUGAUGACUCUGCACAGAUCUCAGGAAGCUUUAUGUGAAAAUAACACCUUGGAACUAGAAGCAGAAGGAACUAGAGAGGUUUCUGCUGGAAGCAUAAUAUAAAAGCCAGUUUUGAAGAAGGCGGGGGGUGGUGGGGGCUCAGAAAAAUGAGCGAUUACCAGAAGGAACUUUUUUUCUCCCAACAUGAUUUUUGAUGGCUCAUAGUUACUUUCAUUUGUUCCGUGACUUUGAGAGGCUGACAAAUAGCAGCCUCAUUCUGAAUGCCUAUUGUUACUCCUGAGGUUUUAUGUAGAGUAGAAAAGAUUGUUUUGAACGUUUCUCAUGGACAAGUGGAAGCUGUACUCUUGCUACAAAUGAUUCAUGUGGGAGAAAUGAUAUAUAAACAAGAUUGCCUGCUUGGAGAGUGGAUGAGAGGGUGAGUUAUUUCAGAAGGGCUCUUCACUUUCAUGCCAGCAAAUGAUAAAAGCUAGCUCUCAGAAUGGCAGGGGUGCUAUGGAAUGGAGGCUUCAGAAACUUUUUGACUCUUACAUUUUAUAGUCAAUGUCAAAAAAAUGUAUUAUAAAUUUCUGACUAAGUCCAGUUACUUUUUCAUGGUGAUGUAGCAAUAGGUUGAUUCAACCUUGGGCCUUGUCCUGUCAGUGUGUUGAGGCUGAAAGAGCCUGGGUUCUGGAAGCUGAGCCUCUGGGGUAAGGUAGGUGCCUAAGGGGCAAAAUUUCAGGAGGCACCUACUCUCAGGGUCAUACAGGCACAGAGUCAGCACUUGCACAAUCCUGUAAGUGAGUGCCUCCUUAAAUUUUGCCCUCUGGGUCACCCUCUUUUCUCACCCAAAUCCGGGCCCUGGAAUUGAAUUAGAAUCAAGACUCCAUCACUUAUUGGUGGUGCAACUUUAGGGAAUCAGUUAGGAUUAGUCUUGGCUAUAACAGAAAAAAGCCAAGUGAGAGUGGCUUAUUUCUCUAUUACAUAAAAAUCUAGAGCAAUACAGGACAGGGCUGGCAUAAUGUCCCCAUUGCAUAAAGUCAUCAGAUCCUAGUUCCUUCCAGUGCACUUUUCUGCCAUUCCAAGGGUUUUGCCUUCAUGAUUCAAAAUGACACAUCCACAUUCUAGGCAGCAGGAUGGAGGAAGGUGACUAAACCAUGUGACUAUAUUACUGAUUUUUAAAAUAUAACAAAAUUAUAAUUAUAAACAUGUAGAAUAGAUUGUAAAAGCCCAAACAAUACAAAAAUAAAAUAUAUUUUUGGAUUGUUAAAUCACCUAUAAUUGUUAUUUCUAUCAGCCCCACUCCAAAUUCCCAGCCUAAGCAUCUAGUUUAUUGCAACUAUUAAGGACUGAGCCAGUCUUGAUUCCCACAAUUGAAAAUGUUUUCAGAAGGAAUUAUUCUUAUGGAAGCUCAUAAAAUGUUCUUAAACCCAUAGGUUUGAAAAUAAGAAAAUUAUCUAGAGUGGAGUGGUAGACAGCUGAGUUAUCUGCCUGCCCAGCACUCACUUCCCAUUCUGGCAGGCAUACUUCAAUUUUGGUUUGGGGAACAAACUACCAGGUUCCUUUGCUUACAGACUUGGUAGAAAUUGUCAUUUGGGCUACAGAUGGGAAGACGUAGAAAUGUAACUCAAACUAGGACCAUAAUAUCCCUCUCUCUUCGAAUAAUUUGUCUCUUGGAUAUGGUUAAAAAGCAUAGACAUAUGACUGGGGAUCAUUUUCUCUAACAGAGACAUGGAACUCAAACAAAUUCCCUGAGCUGCUUUGGAUCCUGUUCUUUCUGAGGCCUGAUACUUCAGCGUCUUCAAAUCUAAUUUGCAAUGCCCCAUAUCCUUCCAGUACACCUCUUCUAUUUAAGUUACCUAGAGUCCAUUUAUGUUGCUUGCAAUCAAGAACCCUAACUGACAAAAGAAGCUAUUCACUUUUCUACCCAAAUAUUUGAAAUUAUACAGGUUGGUCUCUCCUACCUUGUUAAUUAUACCUGUUUUCUUCUCCAGCUUUUCCCAGGUGAGGCCAUUAAUGCCUCCACCCAUAGGCUUAACCCUGCCCUGUUUCUGAGCCAACUCUAAAGUGAGGAAUAGGACUAAAGAGGUGGUGGGUGAGUUGCAUGCAGGAUACCAAAGGAUAAAUCCUGGGGGCUUCCAGAAGUUCCAGAGGAAUUACCUAGAAGGCAUCAUUCCAAGGAGGAAAGAGGCCAAAGCAUCACAUAGACUUCAUAAAACAAGGGACCUUGCCUAUCUUAUUCCCCACUGUAUCCCCAGUACAAAAAAUUAUGUCUGGCUCAUGUAACAUUGGAAGCCAUAUGAUGAGAUAGUAGUGUCACGAGAUAGAAGAAAAUGGGAUCUCUAAGUCACUGGAUGUAGGAGGAUUCCCACUGACUUGACUUUGGGUGGGUAAAAAAUUAAUUUUUGUUCUGUGAAGUCACUGAGAUUUCAGUUUGUUACCACAGCACAGAUUAACCUAUCCUGACUAAUACACCCCAUUUUAUAGAUGAAGAGAUUAAGCCUCUCAGCAAACAAGUAACUUUACCCAAUCAAAGGGCUACUAAGUGACCAAGUCUAUAUGACUCAUGAUAGCCAACCCAUGGCCUCCACCUUUCCUAUGUAUUGGCCCCAGCUUGACAUCCCUGAUCUUGUUGGCUUCCCGACAUUUGCUUCCGUCCAGGUCCUUCCCUCCUUUCCAUCUCCAUCGCUCUUUUUGGCAUGCAUGGAUGAGAAUGCCAUAUGUCCAAGUCUUCAGCUAUGACACCAAAAUCAUAGAAUUGCUUCUAAGGUUGUAAUUCCGUCUUGGAAUUUAUUUUGAGCCUUGGCUGGUUGAGUUGGCCAUUCCUGAAGAUGGCUGCUCAGCAUCUGGCUCCCAUUUGGUCUUUGGCUAAAAAUUCAAAAUUCAUUUUCAUCACUGAGUUUGUAGUAUUUUCUUUCUUUGCUGAGCACAGUGAAGGAAAAGAUGUGGCCAUAAUACUGUAUCUGAAUCACUCAGCUUGGUGGGUUGGAACAACUUGUUCCUAAGAAAAACUUUGUAUUUAACAGAUGUUAUCACAUUCCAGGGACCGUGAUAGAUGCUGGGGAUGCAAAGAGAACUUUACAAAGUAGCCCUUACAUUAAAGGAGUAGCCAACCUAAUGGCCUGCAUGAAGUUUAAAAAUGCAAAAUACUGUGAUAAGCCCAUGGAGAAUCAGCACAUAUAGGCACAGGGAUAACACAAAUGAGAAGGUUGUUUUUCCCACCCAGCAUGAUCCUGAUUCCCACAUGAAUGGGUUUUAAUGAUAUGAUUGGAAGAGUUGCUGACUAUUGAGUGCUGUGCUAAGCGUUUUCCAAAAAUCAACACUUCCCUCCUUUACAACGAUGACACCUAUUCCAUGCAUAAGUAAACUGUUGCCCAGUGAAGGAAAGAGACUUACCCAAAGUCAUGUAUCUAAGAUUUCAACUCAGUUCUGUCUAACGCUUGAUCUUCAAAUCUUCUCCAGCAUAGUAAGCUGGUGCCCCUGUUAAUGUAGAUGAGUUUGGAUGGGUUUAUUCCAAUAUCGCACGUGUCUCUUGUCUCAUUAUCCAGUGAGUUCCCUGAGCCAAGCACUCCGCAGCUCCAUCGCAGCGUGGGCCUCUUGGAAAUUCGGUGCUAGUUCUCAAGGCCUCCUACCUGCUGAACCUUAGUCUUCAUUGCUGAAAUAAGAGCUGUCCUGCAAACAGAGUUUGGCGCUCGCUUUCUGGCCUCCGGCUGGUGGAGCAAGGACGUUUCCAGCACAUAAGAUUCCCCACUCUGUUAAAAAAAAAUGUGUUUAUACUUGGUCCCCUCUGAAGGCGGACGACACCCAUACUUUUGUCCCAGCCCAAUUUGCUGGCUGGGAUUUUUCUCAUCCUUUAAAUCCCGGGAAGCAAGGAACCUGCCCUCUGGCGCCAUCUACCGGCACUGUUUUUCGAGUCCAAGGAGCCCCCUGCGGAGUUGGGAUGUGUUUAGUAAUUGAUUGGAUGAAUCCUGCCACUUCGUUAGUAGAUUCUUAUUUUCUUCACGGACUCUUUACUAAUUAGUAAAGAGAUUAUAUAGCAAAUAUAUUAUCUUACUUUAAAGAGACCAGAGUCUCCUAUCUCUCGCUUCCCCCACCCCAUCAGUUGUGGCAUUCCUUCAUCUUUAAUUUCUUCCUUCGAAAAAUAUUUAUUUUGUUAUUGUAUAGAGAUCAGGGCAUGGGCCACACAGCUGCACACCUGAGCAAACAGAGGGGCUGACUGAUUUGCUGUUGUAAUGAAAAACAUUAGUUUUGGGUUCAUUACUGUGAUUCCACAAUGGGCACCAAAUCCCACUUAAGACCCACCGAAGAAGUCUUCAAAGGGACACGGUUUCAGGUCUGUGCCUGGUGAGCGUGCUGCCUCUUCGAAUCUUUGCACAGAAAUAACCUACGGUUGAAGACUCAGACCUGUCAGAUCAAAACCAACCCUGGCCUCCAGACCUUGAAACAAGUCAAAACAGUGAACCUUACUCAUCCGUUUUCAAAAUAUGGCCUGUUUUCUUUACAAAAUGCAGCAAAGCCUCUCAGAUGGGCGCUGGCUGCAAUAUUUGAUAUAUUAGGGAGAAUCCUGACUCCUUCCAGGUUUCUGCCCAUCUGUUUUAAAUCCAAAUGGCUUGGCAGAGGAUGGUUUUUAGUUAUGUAUUUUUUUCAUUUCAAAUGGAAUUUAAAACAGCAGGGGCAGAAAGCCCAGAUAUGGAUGAGAGAGAAAAUAAAAAGGCCCCUGUAAUUCCCCAUUCGCCUUCUACAUGAAGGAAAAAAUAUCGGCAUUUGUUGUAAACCUACUAUGUGUCAAGGUAUCACUAGGGAGUGUGAUGUUGCUGAGCCAUUGGAAUUUUAUAAAAUUUUAAAUGUUUUUCAUUUUCUUCUUCAGAGGUGGUUUGAUUUCAUGAUCAAGAGCUUGAACUUAAAGUCAAAUCCUUCUCCUGCCUCCUGCAGUCAUGGGGCCUUAGCUAUUCUCUGUAAUGACUCUAGGUCUCAGUUUCCUUGCCUGAGAACAGGCCUGUGAUAAUUACCUUGAUGGGCUAUUGUCAGUUUUAAAUAAGGUAGUGCAGAGGCAACUACCACAGGAAUGGUUCUGCCUUAAGAAUGAACUACGUGUGCAUGUGUCUUUAUAGCAGCAUGAUUUAUAGUCCUUUGGGUAUAUACCCAGUAAUGGGAUGGCU